AGCGAACGCUGGCGGCAGGCUUAGCACAUGCAAGUCGAACGCCCCGCAAGGGGAGUGGCAGACGGGUGAGUAACACGUGGGAACGUACCCUUUGGUUCGGAAUAACUUGGGGAAACUCAAGCUAAUACCGGAUAAGCCCUUAUGGGGAAAGGUUUACUGCCGAAGGAUCGGCCCGCGUCUGAUUAGCUAGUUGGUGAGGUAAUGGCUCACCAAGGCGACGAUCAGUAGCUGGUCUGAGAGGAUGAUCAGCCACACUGGGACUGAGACACGGCCCAGACUCCUACGGGAGGCAGCAGUGGGGAAUAUUGGACAAUGGGGGCAACCCUGAUCCAGCCAUGCCGCGUGAGUGAUGAAGGCCUUAGGGUUGUAAAGCUCUUUUACCCGGGACGAUAAUGACUGACCGGGAGAAUAAGCCCCGGCUAACUUCGUGCCAGCCGCCGCAGUAA
rnacentral:rRNA from 1 species